rnacentral:rRNA from 1 species
UACGAAGGGGGCGAGCGUUGUUCGGAAUCACUGGGCGUAAAGGGCGCGUAGGCGGCCCUCUUAGUCGCGUGUGAAAGCCCCGGGCUCAACCUGGGAGGUGCGCGCGAAACGGGGGGGCUGGAGUUCGGGAGAGGAGAGCGGAAUUCCCAGUGUAGAGGUGAAAUUCGUAGAUAUUGGGAAGAACACCGGUGGCGAAGGCGGCUCUCUGGACCGAGACUGACGCUGAGGCGCGAAAGCGUGGGGAGCAAACAGG